UACGGGGGGGGGCAAGCGUUGUUCGGAAUUACUGGGCGUAAAGGGCUCGUAGGCGGCCAACUAAGUCGGACGUGAAAUCCCCAGACUCAACCUGGGAACUGCGUCCGAUACUGGAUGGCUUGAAUCCGGGAGAGGGAUGCAGAAUUCCAGGUGUAGCGGUGAAAUGCGUAGAUAUCUGGAGGAAUACCGGUGGCGAAGGCGGCAUCCUGGACCGGCAUUGACGCUGAGGAGCGAAAGCCAGGGGAGCAAACGGG
rnacentral:rRNA from 1 species